rnacentral:rRNA from 1 species
GUUUGACUGGGGCGGUCUCCUCCCAAAGAGUAACGGAGGAGCACGAAGGUUAGCUAAUCCUGGUCGGACAUCAGGAGGUUAGUGCAAUGGCAUAAGCUAGCUUGACUGCGAGCGUGACGGCGCGAGCAGGUGCGAAAGCAGGUCAUAGUGAUCCGGUGGUUCUGAAUGGAAGGGCCAUCGCUCAACGGAUAAAAGGUACUCCGGGGAUAACAGGCUGAUACCGCCCAAGAGUUCAUAUCGACGGCGGUGUUUGGCACCUCGAUGUCGGCUCAUCACAUCCUGGGGCUGAAGUAGGUCCCAAGGGUAUGGCUGUUCGCCAUUUAAAGUGGUACGCGAGCUGGGUUUAGAACGUCGUGAGACAGUUCGGUCCCUAUCUGCCGUGGGCGCUGGAGAAUUGAGGGGGGCUGCUCCUAGUACGAGAGGACCGGAGUGGACGCAUCACUGGUGUUCGGGUUGUCAUGCCAAUGGCAUUGCCCGGUAGCUAAAUGCGGAAAAGAUAAGUGCUGAAAGCAUCUAAGCACGAAACUUGCC